GCCCGGGGCGGGGCGGGGCACGGCACUGGGCAGCCCGGAACCCGCAGGUUUCCCGCCCACGCCGAGGCCAGGCCUUAAAAUCCCUUCCCCGCCCCUGGCUGAGCCUCACCCCCUCGGGGGUGUCCGCCCCUGCCUGAGCAGCGGGACCUGCCGCUCCCCGCGAGCGCCCGGGCAGGGAGGGGACCGGGGCCCCGCGAAGGCGGGCGGCGGAGGCGGCGGGGCUGCGGCGCGCACGCAGGGCCUGGUCGGUGUCAUGGCCGCGUCCCGGCUGCCUCCGGCGGCGCUGACGCUGAAGCAGUUCUUGAGACGGCAGCAGGUUCUUCAGUUAUACAGAAGAAUUCUCCAGGCUAUUCGUCAGGUACCUACUGAAACUGAUAGGCACUAUCUAAAGGAGUGGGCAAGGGAAGAAUUCAAAAGAAAUAAAGAUGCAACAGAUGAGGAUGCAAUUAGGAUGAUGAUUACUCAGGGCAACAUGCAGCUUCAGGAGCUUGAGAGAACACUUCAGCUGGCAAACUCCUAACCUUAAUUCUGAGAGCCAAUGGACUUUCAUCCACUGUGAGAAGUACAGUACUUUCUCCAGGAUGCAGCACCUCGUCUUAUGCAAAGAUACUGUAAAAUGGGCUCUGUUCACAUGACACAAUUCUUCUUUCAAAUUAACUGGCCAGUUAGUGUAAAUUGGACAAUCCACUUUGAAAAUGGCUUGAGUUCAUUUUGAAGUAAGUUAGUGCAGAAGAAGGUUUGUGUGGACACAUCUGCAUUCUAGAUUAAUUUUUCAGUCCCUCCGAUGGUAUCCCUGACUACAUUGCUUCACUCCAUGCUGGCUGACAGCAGUGUGAAAAUGGGCUGACUUGCAAAAGACAUGAACCAUGGGAGACGAGGAAAGGAAUCCUGGAAAUCUGCUGCUGUGAACCCCAAGUCACAGAAUUCUAGUGGCUUCAGGUAGGGUAUCCCAUAGUGCACCAUCAAAAAAUCCCAGAAUACAUAGAGACCAGCAGUGGGAAAAAGCACCAUGGGAUACUUGCCUGAUAUGUUGAGAGCUUAUUUCAAAAGAAGUCAGUGCUGCGUGUGCACACUGAUUAAGAGGGAAGUGUGUAGUAAAAGCCGUAUGGAUACAAUUAUUUCGGAAUAGUUAUUCCACAGCUGUUAAUGUGCACAAACUUAAUCCAAAAGCACACACCCACACACACAUGUAGACAAGUCCUUAGAAUAUUUGUUUUGUUGAUCUUUGUCGUUGAGCCUGCAAUAGGUUUGCUUGGAUCUGAAAAUGUGAUCAGCUCAAGUAAAAGGGUUUUAGGCAUUAUCAGGCUCCCUGCUUCUUUUUCAUUCUCCCAAUUAUCCUCUUUUUCAUGUCUCACCUACUGCUCAAACACCAGUCAUCGCUUGGUUCACAUUUUGAAUUGGAAGAAUUCUUAGAGGAGUCUUAAGUCUUUGAUUCAACAUUACUGUGUAAUGCAGUUCUGAAUACAAGUCUCUGAACUGUAGCAGGCAUUACAGAUUUUUUUUUCUCUGAACAAAGUUAAAUGAAGAGAUUUUUUCCCUUGGGUUAUUCUCUGAAGAGCCUGUACAGUUCUUUCAUUAUUAGCUGUUAGAAGUGUAAAUUCGAGCAGCAAGGCAGAGAAAUGAGGCUGCAGCACUUUGGUAGAAAUUCACAAAAAUUACAGAGGAAGUACAGGGAACUUAGAGCUCAAAGAGUGGACCUGGCUCCUGCUCCUACUGAAUGGCAAAACUCCCAUUGACUUUAGUGACAGGAACUGGACUCAAGUUGUACUGAUUUGGAAAAAGACACCUCUGAUUUCCCAGCCUCCUAAAUAUGACUGGAAAGGUACAGACUUUUCACGAAUGUAAAAACGCUAGUACUGAUCUCACAGAAUAAUGUUUAUCAGACUCAGGAUUUUUUGUUAAGCCAACUUGUCUGAAGACGGCAACCUGACUCUCAAAUUUGGUUGCCAGACAAGAAAAUAUGUCUGUCCUAACAUUUUGGAUCAAGAAAGGAGUAUUUUCAGAAAUCACUUGUGUUGUAUGUAUGUUAUUGUCUCUCCCCUCAAAUGCAAGCUGUUGAUCUGAACCUGACCUGCACUUAAAAUCUUGGGUGGACUGACUUAAGGCUGGAAAUGAAAGCUAGCCUCUAAUCAUUGUCUCUCUAUAUCCAAUAUCAGUGGAUGGCAGUUGUGUUCAAUCCUGUACCAUAGGGAGAACGCAUAUAUAAUUAGUCACAUGCUCUUAUCCUGAAAUGCAACAUGAACUGAAAUUAACCAUGAGAAGGAAUUAAAUAAAGUAGCAGUCUGGGUAGGCAAAUAAUCUAUUUCUUCUGCUGUUUGGUAGCUUGUAUAAAUUAACUGAGUCUAGAGGGCAAAUCCAUUCUCCUCCACAGGGUAAUGUGUCAUUCAGUAAGACACCCCGGAUUCUCAGGUGUAGGUCAGCAGCUUGUAGACUGGCAAUAAGUAAUUAUCAUUUGUCAGGUUGUCCUGGCUAUUUUAGGCAAUCUGAUUUUUCCUAGUAGAAAAAUGUUUAUAACAGGACCUUGUCAGAGCCUAAACCCUGACUGCUGCUAUGCUUUGUAUUUUGUCACGCUGUUUGAAUCACUGUGUUGAAUCUUCAGAAGCAUAAGAAGUUGAGAAGCAUCCAAAGAAGCCAGCUUUGAUUAAGUGAAAAUAAGAUUGAAUUGUUAAGUAAAGUUAGGAAAAUUCUUCAUUACCAUUGGAAACAGAAGCAGGGCAUGUGCAUGUUUGAACACUGACAUGCUACGCUUUGGGUUCUAACAGCGUGCCUUUGCCAGUCUACUGUAUUCAUACACUUUUUAAGAGAGGUCUGUCUCAGAAUGUCUUACAGUUUAUGCAUCAUUCAUAGCUUUUAUGCAGCAUUCAUCCUUUUAGUUAAAAUCUUCUAAUGCACAUGGCACCCACGUAAACAGAGCAGCAAUUCUUAUAUUGUUAACACACACACUCACUCACUCUUCCAUGGUUCUGGAUGUUGGAAAAAGUUCUAUUCCCUGAUAUUUGUAACUAUGUGAGUUAUCUAAAGAAUGUCUAAUAUUCAUAAAUAUGAGCAUCUGGAAAUCAAACUCAAAGUCUAAAAGAAGGGAUACUAUAAAUCAAGUGAAACAGCAUUAUAAAAUUAUUUUGUUUACAAAGUAACCAUAAACAGUCUGAUUGCAUAUGGGGGCUGUUCCUGUCCUAUGUCAAUAUAGUAUGUAGUUUUACUCAUACCCAUGUGUCCUUUCCUCUCUUUUCUUCUCUCUGUUAGUAUUCAUUGUAUAGUUUAGUUUUAUCAACUGUAGUUCUUUUGAACUGUUGGCUUAUUUCAUAGUUUUAUAGACAUGUUUACUGAAAUUGUAUGGAACAUUUUUUAAAGGAAAAUUACAAGGUAAAAUAAGGUUUCAGAGUAGCCGCUGUGUUAAUCUGUAUUCGCAAAAAGAAAAGGAGGACUUGUGGCACCAAGUAUAGAAGCUCUACAUUCCUGUUGCCUGUAACAACACAUAGUGAUGUCCAUGAAAUCUGACUGCUCAACUGGCUGAACAUUUCCAACCUUAAUUUAGCGUAUAUUGCCCCUUGCUGGUUUUCAGAUUAUUCCAUUAACCUUUUGACUAGUGAGUGGGAAAAAAAUCUCCCAAGGGUAUUUCAUUUUGAUCUUAGCAAAAUUGUUUAUGCCACGGUAUAUUGCACCAAUUUAUGAUAUAAUUUUACAGUGCUCACUUGGUACUCUAUGUUUGUGUUAUAAAAUAUCUUGUUUGCAGUUCUGGUGGGUCAUAUAUUCAGUUCUCCUGAAUUGCUCAUAAGAUAUUAUAAUAGAAAGAGAGAGACACUUGGAGUUCCUCACAAAUUUUUAACAAGACUAAAUCCUGGUACAUUAAUGGAAACAUUGUAACAAAAGAUAUACGGUUUUCCUUC